GGGGCGCCUGUGGGAGCCGUGGAGGGAACUUUCCCAGUCCCCGAGGCGGAUCCGGUGUUGCAUCCUUGGAGCGAGCUGAGAGCUCGAGAACCUGCUAAGGCCAUCAAACCUAUUGAUCGGAAGUCAGUCCAUCAGAUUUGCUCUGGGCCGGUGGUACCGAGUCUAAGCACUGCGGUGAAGGAGUUAGUAGAAAACAGUCUGGAUGCUGGUGCCACUAAUAUUGCUUAAGGACUAUGGAGUGGAUCUCAUUGAAGUUUCAGGCAAUGGAUGUGGGGUAGAAGAAGAAAACUUCGAAGGCUUAACUCUGAAACAUCACACAUCUAAGAUUCAAGAGUUUGCCGACCUACCUCAGGUUGAAACUUUUGGCUUUCGGGGGGAAGCUCUGAGCUCACUUUGUGCACUGAGUGAUGUCACCAUUUCUACCUGCCAUGUAUCGGCGAAGGUUGGGACUCGACUGGUGUUUGAUCACUAUGGGAAAAUCAUCCAGAAAACCCCCUACCCCCACCCCAGAGGGAUGACAGUCAGUGUGAAGCAGUUAUUUUCUACGCUACCUGUGCACCAUAAAGAAUUUCAAAGGAAUAUUAAGAAGAAACGUGCCUGCUUCCCCUUCGCCUUCUGCCGUGAUUGUCAGUUUCCUGAGGCCUCCCCAGCCAUGCUUCCUGUACAGCCUGCAGAACUGACUCCUAGAAGUACCCCACCCCACCCCUGCUCCUUGGAGGACAACGUGAUCACUGUAUUCAGCUCUGUCAAGAAUGGUCCAGGUUCUUCUAGAUGAUCUGCACAAAUGGCUCCUCUCCUCCUUCCUGAUGUCUGCCAUUAGCACUGGAAUAAAGUUCCUGCUGAAAA
rnacentral:lncRNA from 1 species